rnacentral:lncRNA from 1 species
UCUUGUACGUUUUUGGUUCUUUGUGUUUCUAUUUUCCCAAGUCUGUCAAAUUUUCCUCUUUUUCUUUUGUUUUUUUUUUGCUAUUGUGCUCUUCUUGCUUGCUUUCACGAUUGCCUCUACUCCUUCCUUUGCGCUUUCUUUAAUUUAUUCUUUAUUUUCUUCUUUGUGAGGGGUACUUUUGUUACGUUAAUAAAUUGUUGUUGAAUUCGUGUGGUUUGUGCUAGGACAAUUAUUAGCGUAAGUUCGUUGUUAUUCUACUGCCACUGUUCGUUUCAACCCAUUUCUAUCUAAU